AGUGUCGGGGGGGAGCCCCCCUGGUCCCCCGGAUACUAUGCCCCUGCCAACACUGGCAGAAAUAUAACUAAUCUGACUUCAAAAUUCCUUCCUCUGUUCCCCGAAGUACAGGUUACACUCUUCGCUCUCAUUUUUUAAAAAUAUUCAUUGUAUUUUUUUUUGCAGAAGCAAGGAAUGUGGAGCUAAUGCAUGCUGCUAAGGAUGGAAAGUUCUUGUGUUUAUUGGUUGUUCCUGAGACACCAGUCACAGUUGUACCUUAUUUCCAUUUUAGAAGCAAGGAAUGUGGAGUUAAUGCAUGCUGCUAAGGAUGGAAAGGUCUUGUGUACAUUGGUUGUGCCUGAGACACCAGUCACAGUUGUACUUUAUUUCCAUUUUAGGGAGUCUAUAUACACUUGAGAGGUGAGCGUCAGAUUUAAUUUUGAAGAUGGAUGACUUUCUGAUGUUGUGAUGAAGAUUGUUGAAAGAGUAUAUCAACAUAGAACCAAUCCAUAUGAAUGUGCAAGUCAGGACUUGUACAACACCUGAGUACCCAGAUGACUGUUUAACUAAUUGGUGAACAAGAAAAGAUGUCAGAGAGGGGAAUCCAAAACAGAUGUCAUGAUCAAGAAAAUGUACUGUUAUCAAUGAUAUGAUAAAAAAUUUGUAAACUUGUAGCGAUUUAGAAUAUCUUAUCUGUAAUAUAACUCUUCAAUACUUAAUUGUUCACACAUUAUCAUCUUAUCUGUAUAUUAAUUUCCCCCUCUUAUAUAACCCCCUGCUGAUUGUAAUGACUUGUGUAUUGAUUCCUGAUCUUAAGGAUCUUAUACAUGUAAUGUGCUCCUGAUCGUCAGGAGUGGAUCUUGAGUAUAUAUAUAGUGCGACAGAAUUUUAGAAUAAGAUGGGAAGAUGGAAAU